AUUGAACGCUGGCGGCAGGCCUAACACAUGCAAGUCGAGCGGAGCGGCGGACGGGUGAGUAAUGCCUAGGAAUCUGCCUGGUAGUGGGGGAUAACGUCCGGAAACGGGCGCUACUACCGCAUACUCUCAGAUGAUUCUUGGUCGGAUUGGCUAGUUGGUGGGGUAAAGGCCUACCAAGGCGACGAUCCGUAACUGGUCUGAGAGGAUGAUCAGUCACACUGGAACUGAGACACGGUCCAGACUCCUACGGGGGGCAGAAGUGGGGAAUAUUGGACAAGGGGCGAAAGCCGGAUCCAGCCAUGCCGCGUGUGUGAAGAAGGUCUUCGGAUUGUAAAGCACUUUAAGUUGGGAGGCGUUACCAACAGAAUAAGCACCGGCUAACUUCGUGCCAGCAGCCGCGGUAAUAC
rnacentral:rRNA from 1 species